rnacentral:rRNA from 1 species
CCUACGGGAGGCAGCAGUGGGGAAUAUUGCACAAUGGACGAAAGUCUGAUGCAGCAACGCCGCGUGGAGGAUGACACAUUUCGGUGCGUAAACUCCUUUUAUAUAGGAAGAUAAUGACGGUACUAUAUGAAUAAGCACCGGCUAACUCCGUGCCAGCAGCCGCGGUAA